rnacentral:rRNA from 1 species
GAAGUUACGUUUUCACCCUCGGGUGACAGGGAGACAGGUGGUGCAUGGUUGUCGUCAGCUCGUGUCGUGAGAUGUUGGGUUAAGUCCCGCAACGAGCGCAACCCCUACGUUUAGUUGCUAACAGGUGAAGCUGAGCACUCUAGACGAACUGCCGUUGACAAAACGGAGGAAGGUGGGAUGACGUCAAAUCAUCAUGCCCCUUAUGUUCUGGGCUACACACGUGCUACAAUGGCCGGUACAGACGGAGGCGAAGCCGCGAGGCGGAGCAAAUCCGAAAAAGCCGGUCUCAGUUCGGAUUGCAGGCUGCAAUUCGCCUGCAUGAAGUCGGAAUCGCUAGUAAUCGCAGGUCAGCAUACUGCGGUGAAUACGUUCCCGGGCCUU